GGGAAGCCGAGAUAUCAGACUA
rnacentral:siRNA from 1 species